AGCCACACCUCCCAAUAGUGCCACUCAUUAUGGGCCAAGCAUUCAAACACAUGAAUCUAGAGGAUCAUACCUAUCCAAAGCACCACAUGGUUGGAGGAUUUUCCCAGAACAGAAUGUCAUUUGAAGCAAAGAAUCCACCUCUUCACAACUAGUAGUUCCUGUGGCAGGACCAGCUGCUAACAGCGCCUGAUGAUGGUCUCAGACCUGAAGAGAGGACCAGAUACUCCUCCCCGCUUUGCUGGAAAGCCACAAGAGACCAACGAAUUUCAAUGGACCAAGCCACUUUCUUCAGCUUCCCUUGCUGGCAGACAGGCCACGGCACUGAAGAACAGCACCAAAGACACCUGCACAGGAGCGGGUGUCCCUGGAGCCCACCAGGGGCUGUGGUGAUGGUGACAUGACCUCCUCAGUCACUUGCUGAGCUAAUGAACACCUGCUCACACGUAGGACUGAGAGCACCAAGAUAAAAUCCUUUCUUCAUUCUCCUCUCCUCCUCCUCGUCGUCCACCUCCUUCCAAGACAGGGUCUCCCACUUUCAUAGAAUUUGCCAAAUAGACUAGGCAGGUGAGCCCCAAACAUCUGUCGUCCCCACCUCCUCAGCACUUGGAUUACAGGUCUCUGCCACCACACCCAGCUUUUUAUGUGGGUUCUGGGAAUCAAAACUCAGGCCUUCAUCGCUCCUGACUGGCCUACCUCCCAGGCCCUAAAAUUUACCUUCACGGAUUUCAUAUGCCUAUGGUUGUUUUUGCUGUGUUGUUCAAAGUAUGUCUGUUAGAGUAACAAUGCCAUGACUAACAGGUCACUUUUUAUGUCAAGGCCAAACUUGUCUGUUCUAGGCUCCUCCCUGCACCCCAGCUUCAGGUCCAUUUCUGGAACACCCAGCCUCUCCUUCCCCUUCAAGACCAGCUGCUUUUCAGUACUGUACUGAGAGGGAGGCCAGAGGGAACACAGGGUAGCCUCCUUUGAGGGAUGUUCAACAUGGUUCCACAGUUGACAUCCUGACAUCGACACACUGACUUUCUACACAGAUCCCUCCACCCCCACCCCACCCCCCCCCCCGAGCUCCUCAGUAGGAGGCACAGGGCAGGCAAUGGUGACUCCAGGUUCAGCCCCUCCAACCACCACUACCUCUAAAUGUCUACAGACUCCAUGAGCACAAGUUCCUCAAGAACAAACGGGAGAAGCAGUAGGGGACAUGCACAAGCUGCGCUCUCGCACCUAUCCCAGCUGGGUUUGGCCCGUCCCGGCAACUCCAGCCUUCCAUCCUCAUUUCUUCGCCAAGCCAGGCCUAGCUCCAAACCCUGUGCUAGUAAGCCGGCAGCUGUCUUCCGAUCAGUGUCCAAGAGGAACCGGAUUCACACCCUGAUAUUUGUGGCCGAUCUUGCUAGACACCCCCCCACCCUGGGGAGGGGGCUAAGGAUGUAACUCCAGGGUGGAAGAGUUAAACAUCUCGGCCACAGAGAGGAAGGAGUGAAGCACUUUGAAAAUGAACUACAGCUAUUUAAACACAGUCCCAGCGCACUAAAUUCAACCCGACUGCCACAAAACCCCAGAAUCCCUCAGUGAAGAGAAAAUAGAGCAACCUCCAUCUUCUGUUGUCCCUGGGAACCGCACCAGCUGACUCACACCCCCGCAUCACAUGACUGUUUUACAUCUCUGUGUUCUUCCCAGUUUUUCCAGGUGGAGUGAGAAUUCCCAACAGAAGCUUGGGGUUGCUCUGAGAGGAAGCUUGAAGAGGACCAAUGUCAGCUAAAAGGAGAAAGAAGAGGGAAAGACAGAGGGACACGUAAGCCCCUUGCUCAGGUCAUGUAAAAGCCACUGGAGCUGGAGACAAUGAGCAGAUAAGUAUCUCUCUUUCCUUGCUCUGGCUGUUUUUAAGGAACUGCCCCCACUGCAUCUACUUGAACACAAUAUGAAGCACACACUUCUCAGCACGUAAAAGCGGGGAGGUUCCUGGUUUUACUGCACGGACAGCCUUUGCUCUGCCUUGUUGACCAGUGGUCACAAUAGGGCCUUUCAUUGCAGGGCCACAUGGUCCCCUGCAACGUGACCUGGGAGCUGGCAAACACUCCAGGACAGCACAAAGGAACGGAACUUGUCUUUGUGUUGUGAGUGCACCAGCCUGUCGGCAGUGCUUGGGGUUGCUCAUUCCUUCUCUGUUCAAUGCUCAGCAGCUCAGUGGUUCUUUUUCCCCACCCCCUCCUGUCCCUCUGCAGGCCACAGUGGUUGACCAGUGCUGGGCCAGCGCCUUGGGGGGAAGGUAAAGUCCACCUGGGAAAAUGAGUACUGUGUCUAUUUAAAAGCAUUUGUAGAGUUGACCCCACUGCACACAUUGUGGUCAUUAUUUAACUUGUACAUCGGAAGAGAGAAUUUACUCAGGCAAAGUCUUAAAGAGGAAGAUUGUGGAAUUGGGUCAAGAGGAGGCAUCUGGCGACAAAACACACUAUGUAUUAAAAUGAUGGGAGAAGGAUUCAAACUUGUAUUUCUAAAGCAAACCUAUUGUAUAUUGUGUAAUAGUCACCAGUGGCCCUGUGGCAAGUGGAGGGGCCUUCAGACUCUUCCUACUUUGAAAAAAAUGCUUCACUAGGGUGAGAUGUGGGGAGCAGGACACAGCUGGCUGGACAGGCCUCCUGUCCAUUGAUUACUCCCUGUUUCUUCACAUGGACAAGAGAAUGACAGACAGCAACCUUUCAAGCUGGAGAAAUGUCUCAAGAGGUUAAGAGCACGAUCUGCGCUCGAAGAGGACCUGGGUUCAGUUCCCAGCACCCUCAUAGCAGCUCACAAACACCUGUAAUUCCAGCUCCAGGGGAUCUGGUGCCCUCCUGUGGACCUGCAGACACUUGAAUUCACAUAUACAAAGACAAGCAAGCCACGCCCCAUAUAUGUGCAACUUAAAUUUUUUAGUAUUUAAAAAAAAUAAGCCAAGGGGCUGUAGUGAUGGCUCAGUGGUUUAGCCUAUUGACUGGUCUUUCAGACAUCUUGGGUUUGAUUCCCAGCACCUACAUGAUGGCUCAUAACUGUAACUUCAUUUCCAGGGGAUCUGAUGCCUUCUUUGGACCUCUGCAGGUUCUAGGCACACAUGCAGUGCAUAGGUGUAUAAAAUAAAUAAAUAAAAUUUUAAAAAGCAACCCCCAAACUAAUGCACUUCUAAACCAUGACCAAUUCCUGUGUUCAGCUGAGUGUGUGUGGGUGAGGUGAGAAGAGCAACUGAAAAUGGAGUCUGUUUGUUUGAAACAGGGUUUCACUGAGGGCUAAGAUUACAGCAGUGUGGCAUCACCACUCCCAGUGGAGAAUUGAACUUUCCGUAUCAGUUUAUUGAG
ensembl:lncRNA